UUCUUCACCAUAAAAAUUAAGUUUUUCUUCUCCUUUCUUUUCUUUUCUUACUUCUCCAUUCUCGUACCCUUUUAUUAACCCAACCCACAACUCUCAACCUCAUUUUUCAUCCUAACUAAACCCUAGGAGAGAGAAAGGAAGAAAGAAGAAAGGAAGGAAAGAAAGGAAAAAGGAAAAGAAAAGCUCGGAGGAGGCUCGGUCUUGGAGGAGAAAAAAGAAAAUUGAGAGGUUUUCCUCCUCACCCACACACCAUUGUUGAAGUUUGAAAAGAUUUUGGUGGUUUACCUUGUGGAUUUCAAGUAAGGAUCAAUAAAGAUCUAAGGAGCCUGAGGCAUGCAUGUGGGAGAAUCUUAGAAUGCGUGGUGAUUUUGACCUAGAUUAAGUGGAAGUGCAAAAAUAAAGAUAGUGUAUUGUGGUGGCGUACCGAAGGAAAUAACGAGCGACCGACAAGUAGAAAUAGCUAGAUAUGCCUUUGAACUAAUAGCGAUGUAGUAUUCCGCUAUCGUAAGGAUUGAAGGUAGUUGGAUCCUAGGUCAAGGUGCUCCCUCCUAUUUAUCUUUCGGUAGGUUCACUACGACUCCUAAUGAUAGCACCCAUGCCCAGAGUCACUUCGCUGGUAAUCAAAGGUCUGUUGCAUGUUUAUAUGUGAUAGUUUAAUAUAUAUUGUGAGAUUUGUUAUGAACUUCGUAUGUACUUGAUUUUCACGAUUUAAAUUCGAAGAGAUUGUUAUUAGAAAUCACGAGUCUUAGAUCCUAAAGAAAAAGAAGUGAUAGAUGGACUACUGACAAGUUUACAUAUAGAGGCUUGCUUGGGCCAGAUGGACUAUGCCUAUUGG